rnacentral:lncRNA from 1 species
AUGCAAAAGAAACAGAGAAAAACAACAGAACGGGAAAGACUAGAGAUCUCUUCAAGAAAAUUAGAGAUACCAAGGGAACAUUUUCAUGCAAAGAUGGGCUCAAUAAAGGACAUAAAUGGUAUGGACCUAACAGAAGCAGAAGAUAUUAAGAAGAGGUGGCAAGAAUACACAGAAGAACUGUACAAAAAAGAUCUUCACGACCCAGAUAAUCCUGAUGGUGUGAUCACUCAUCUAGAGCCAGACAUCCUGGAAUGCGAAAUCAAGUGGGCCUUAGAAAGCAUCACUACGAACAAAGCUAGUGAAGGUGAUGGAAUUCCAGUUGAGCUAUUUCAAAUCCUGAAAGAUGAUGCUGUGAGAGUGCUGCAUUCAACAUGCCAGCAAGUUUGGAAAACUCAGCAGUGGCCACAGGACUGGAAAAGGUUAGUUUUCAUCCCAAUUCCAAAGAAAGGCAAUGCCAAAGAAUGCUCAAACUAUCGCACAAUUGUACUCAUCUCACAUGCUAGUAAAGUAAUGCUCAAAAUUUUCCAAGCCAGGCUUCAGCAAUACAUGAACAACUUCCAGAUGUUCAAGCUGGUUUUGGAAAAGGCAGAGGAACCAGAGAUCAAAUUGCCAACAUCCGCUGGAUCAUUGAAAAAGCAAGAGAAGUCCAGAAAAAUAUCUGUUUCUGUUAUAUUGACUAUGCCAAAGCCUUUGACUGUGUGGAUCACAAAAAAACUGUGGAAAAUUCUGAGAGAGAUGGGAACACCAGACCACCUGACCUGCCUCUUGAGAAACCUAUAUGCAAGUCAGGAAGCAACAGUUAGAACUGGACAUGGAGCAACAGACUGGUUGCAAAUAAGAAAAGGAGUACGUCAAGGCCGUAGAUUGUCACCCUGCUUCUUUAACUUAUAUGCAGAGUAUAUCAUGAGAAACGCUGGGUUAGAAGAAGCACAAGCUGGAAUCAAGACUGCCAGGAGAAAUAUCAAUAACCUCAGAUAUGCAGAUGACACCACCCUUAUGGCAGAAAGUGAAGAGGAACUAAAAAGCCUCUUGAGGAAAGUGAAAGAAGAGAGUGAAAACGUUGGCUUAAAGCUCAACAUUCAGAAAACUAAGAUCAUGGCAUCCGGUCCCAUUACUUCAUGGGAAAUAGAUGAGGAAACAGUGGAAACAGUGUCAGACUUUAUUUUUUUGGGCUCCAAAAUCACUGCAGAUGGUGACUGCAGCCAUGAAAUUAAAAGACACUUAGUCCUUGGAAGGAAAGUUAUGACCAACCUAGAUAGCAUAUUGAAAAGCACAAAGGUCCAUCUAGUCAAGGCUAUGGUUUUUCCAGUGGUCAUGUAUGUAUAUGAGAGUUGGACUGUGAAGAAAGCUGAGCACUGA